rnacentral:pre_miRNA from 1 species
UCUUAUGAAUGAGCAAAGAAAGUGGUUUUUGGGAAUGGAAUCUACUCCUGGUGAAGAUGCUGCAAA